rnacentral:rRNA from 1 species
AGUCAUAUGCUUGUCUCAAAGAUUAAGCCAUGCAUGUGUAAGUACAAGCCGAUUUAAGGCGAAACCGCGAAUGGCUCAUUAAAUCAGCUAUGUUUCAUUGGAUCUGUAAACCCACUUACUUGGAUAACUGUGGCAAUUCUAGAGCUAAUACAUGCAAUUGGUCUCUGACCGCAAGGGAAGAGCGCUUUUAUUAGUUCAAAACUGGUCGGGCCCCGGUCCGUAACCCACCUGUGGUGAAUCUGAAUAACUUCGGGCUGAGCGCACGGUCUCCGCACCGGCGCCGCUUCUUUCAAGUGUCUGCCUUAUCAGCUUUCGAUUGUAGGUUAUGCGCCUACAAUGGCUAUAACGGGUAACGGGGAAUCAGGGUUCGAUUCCGGAGAGGGAGCCUGAGAAACGGCUACCACAUCUAAGGAAGGCAGCAGGCACGCAAAUUACCCACUCCCGGCACGGGGAGGUAGUGACGAAAAAUAACGAUGUGAGUCUCAUCCGAGGCCUCGCAAUCGGAAUGAGUACACUUUAAAUCCUUUAACGAGUAUCCAUUGGAGGGCAAGUCUGGUGCCAGCAGCCGCGGUAAUUCCAGCUCCAAUAGCGUAUAUUAAAGUUGUUGCGGUUAAAAAGCUCGUAGUUGGAUCUCAGUUCCGGACUGACGGUGCACCGCCCGGUGUUUACUGUCACGCUCCGAACAGCCGCCCCGCCGGCUCGCACGGGAUGCUCUUUGUCGAGUGUCCCGAGUGGCC